UGCCUCUCAGGAUUGUACCUGGAGAGUUCCCAGUCCUCUACCAGUCUUGAAUAUGGGAGGGAGAGUCAGGCAGAGGCCUACCCAUUCCAUUCCUAGCUUGGGCGUGGCUAGCAAGUGGAAAGAAGUCUGCUACAAGU